rnacentral:rRNA from 1 species
GAUGAACGCUGGCGGCGUGCUUAACACAUGCAAGUCGAACGGAAAGGCCCAAGCUUGCUUGGGUACUCGAGUGGCGAACGGGUGAGUAACACGUGGGUGAUCUGCCCUGCACUUCGGGAUAAGCCUGGGAAACUGGGUCUAAUACCGGAUAGGACGAUGGUUUGGAUGCCAUUGUGGAAAGUUUUUUCGGUGUGGGAUGAGCUCGCGGCCUAUCAGCUUGUUGGUGGGGUAAUGGCCUACCAAGGCGUCGACGGGUAGCCGGCCUGAGAGGGUGUACGGCCACAUUGGGACUGAGAUACGGCCCCGACUCCUACGGGAGGCAGCAGUGGGGAAUAUUGCACAAUGGGCGCACGCCUGAUGCAGCGACGCCGCGUGGGGGAUGACGGCCUUCGGGUUGUAAACUCCUUUCGCUAGGGACGAAGCGUUUUUGUGACGGUACCUGGAGAAGAAGCACCGGCUAACUACGUG